rnacentral:misc_RNA from 1 species
AACGCACCUUGCACCCUUUGGUAUUCCGAAGGGUACACCCGUUUGAGUGUCAUUGUAAUCUCACUACAACCGCUUUUUUGUUGUUGUAUGUGGACUUGGAUGUUGCCGUGUAACACACGGCUCGUCUGAAAUGCCUGAGUGUACCCUGCUUUGCGGCGUAUUCGGUGUGAUAAAUCUUCACCGGAGUUGACCCUCAGGUCACGUCCGCUUGACAUGGCUCUAUGCUUCCAACCGUCCUGACAAGACAAUCUUUGACAAUUUGACCUCAAAUCGGGUGGGACUACCCGCUGAACUUAA